rnacentral:rRNA from 1 species
GACGGAGGAUGCAAGUGUUAUCCAGAAUCACUGGGCGUAAAGCGUCUGUAGGUGGUUUAAUAAGUCAACUGUUAAUCUUGAGGCUCAACCUCAAAAUCGCAGUCGAAACUAUUAGGCUAGAGUAUAGUAGGGGUAAAGGGAAUUUCCAGUGGAGCGGUGAAAUGCGUAGAGAUUGGAAAGAACACCGAUGGCGAAGGCACUUUACUGGGCUAUUACUAACACUCAGAGACGAAAGCUAGGGUAGCAAAUGGG